GCGGAAGUGGCGGAAUGGCAGACGCGCUAGAUUCAGGUUCUAGUGGCAGCAAUGCUGUGUGGGUUCAAGUCCCAUCUUCCGCA
rnacentral:tRNA from 1 species